AGAGUUUGAUCCUGGCUCAGGAUGAACGCUAGCGGCAGGCCUAACACAUGCAAGUCGAGGGGCAUCACGAGGUAGCAAUACUUUGGUGGCGACCGGCGCACGGGUGCGUAACGCGUAUGUAACCUACCUAUAACAGGGGCAUAACACUGAGAAAUUGGUACUAAUUCCCCAUAAUAUUCGGAGAGGCAUCUCUCCGGGUUGAAAACUCCGGUGGUUAUAGAUGGACAUGCGUUGUAUUAGCUAGUUGGUGAGGUAACGGCUCACCAAGGCAACGAUACAUAGGGGGACUGAGAGGUUAACCCCCCACACUGGUACUGAGACACGGACCAGACUCCUACGGGAGGCAGCAGUGAGGAAUAUUGGUCAAUGGACGCAAGUCUGAACCAGCCAUGCCGCGUGCAGGAUGACGGCUCUAUGAGUUGUAAACUGCUUUUGUACGAGGGUAAACGCAGAUACGUGUAUCUGUCUGAAAGUAUCGUACGAAUAAGGAUCGGCUAACUCCGUGCCAGCAGCCGCGGUAAUACGGAGGAUUCAAGCGUUAUCCGGAUUUAUUGGGUUUAAAGGGUGCGUAGGCGGUUUGAUAAGUUAGAGGUGAAAUUUCGGGGCUCAACCCUGAACGUGCCUCUAAUACUGUUGAGCUAGAGAGUAGUUGCGGUAGGCGGAAUGUAUGGUGUAGCGGUGAAAUGCUUAGAGAUCAUACAGAACACCGAUUGCGAAGGCAGCUUACCAAACUAUAUCUGACGUUGAGGCACGAAAGCGUGGGGAGCAAACAGGAUUAGAUACCCUGGUAGUCCACGCAGUAAACGAUGAUAACUCGUUGUCGGCGAUACACAGUCGGUGACUAAGCGAAAGCGAUAAGUUAUCCACCUGGGGAGUACGUUCGCAAGAAUGAAACUCAAAGGAAUUGACGGGGGCCCGCACAAGCGGAGGAACAUGUG
rnacentral:rRNA from 2 species